UACAAAUAUUGCCGAAGACAGCAGGUGCCGCAAGGCGUAAUCGAAGAGCCUGCCGAGGGAACUUAUCAUAGUAAAUAUGAUUAUGCCGACUUCCCUGUCUUUUCCGGGAAGUUUUUUUAU
rnacentral:sRNA from 1 species